rnacentral:lncRNA from 1 species
CUUUACAUGCACUUGUGAGUCAUAUCAGUGAGAGAGAGAGCUCCUUCCGUGUGCGAAGGUUGGAUAAGACGAAAGGACGUCACUUGGACAUCAAGUUCAGUUUUAUGUGUUGUAGGAGUUGAAUGUAUACUGAUUGUAAAGAACAGGGGAUUGAUUCGAAUUGACGUACGGUUCGGUCUACAGACGAACAACGAAUCUCCAAUACAAAGGGAGCUCACCAAUAGAAAGUGACAGACUGGAGACUAUGGCUCAUGCUCUAGGGGGUAGAGUGCAUACAGUUUACAUCUGGAUGCCACAAGAGGGCUCUUUCGGCCAUUCAUCCUUACAGCUGAGUAACGGCGAAUAUGUCAGCUGGUGGCCAUGCGGAGGGAAAACAAAAUCAGUUAUAGGAAAGAAGAUAUCCUCUUCGAGCGAAAAUCUUAUUGAGGACGUUGUUAAGAUGGAGCGUCAACCGACUUAUACCUUCCCAAUACCUGCAGACGAUUUGGAUGAAGAAAAAAUGAAGGAAGAGUGGCACGGUUGGUUUAUUACAGGCCAUUACAAUGUUUUUGGUGCAAAUUGUUGCUGGGUUGUCUACAAGAUCCUUCGUGCAGGUGGGGCACCGAUCAGUGCAACCAUAAUAUGGAGACCAGAGAGUUUGCGUCGUUACUUGGCUAUUUACCUGCGGGGUGGAUGGAUAAUUACAACAUUUUUCAAUUUACCUUUUUUUGCUUGAUGGUCUUAGACAUGAGGUAUAUGAAUAUCCUGUCAGGUGUCAGCUUGAAUGGUCAGAUUAUCGACCUGAAAUCUAACCUUAGUGAUUUUCAAUAACUCACGAGUGUACUCAAGACGAACAUCAUUUGUCAUAAUAUAGAUUUAUUGUGAAAUGUGUUUUGGGGUGAAAAAAGUAACGCCUCUAGUUGACUUUUAAACUGCUAUUCAUUUCUGAUGGGGGACUGAAAGCUACAUGACAGUAAAACAACCCAGACGCUGGAGAUGAAAAUUAUAUUUUUACGAGAAAUCAAAAGGGGUCUAUAUUUAGUUCGAUUAAGGUUAUAACCUCAUCACAGUCAGUUUGGCCUUUGAGUAUAUUACACGGAAUACUAAAAAAACGCUUAGCUACCUUCCUGUUAUAGUAACUAACUUUAACUCCCGGACAAACUGUCACCAGAAACAAGCUUCACGUUUGUUAUUCGCAUGGUGAUCUCCAGUAAACUAAGCUUAUUACUAACACGUUUAUAAGGAACUGUUUUUUGGUCCCGCCAAUUUGUUGUAUAUAUGCUUAUAUGGAACAGCGGUUAUAAUGAACUAAAUGUAUGGCCCCUUUACGUUCGUUAUGACCGUAGCUCAAAAAAUGUUAUGUCGGAUUCAAGAAGAGGUCAAGGCCUGUAAGAAAUUUCUUGCCAUUCGUGAGUGCACUUGCACUAUAAGUAUACCGGUUACUUAUUGCACCUGCAGCUUACUUCAUCCAUUGUGUUGACUUUUGUACACCGACAACUGUGUGUUUCAAUAUUAUCCAUCGAUUAUUUAUUGAUCAUUUACUGAUUUCACAACGAAGCCCUGUACGUUAUUAUAUGUCUUUGUUAACCUUUGCGUUUCAUUUACAAAAAAACGGCUUGUAACACUAUAAACCAUCGAUGUCAUAAUGCUGUCUGAAAGUUUUUCCCUGAAAUGAUAUAUACCCCAACUUGAAAAGUGUCCAUUUAAUUCCGUACAAGAGUGCUGUUGUUGCCUACUUUUUGUGUCACGUUCACUGUCAUGCAGUUCUUUUUUAUCCAAUAGUUCGAUAAUAUUGUAUUUCGCAUAUUUUAUUUCAGCUUUACGUGUCGACUUCUUGAAUUUUUAAAAAUAAAAAUAUCUUGUUCUUUUA